CUCCGCGGAGGGCGGGAGGAGGCGCGGGGCAGCGACGCAAUGCGCCCCUAGUGGCGGGGGUAUUUGCGCCUCUGCUCUGUAGCUUCCGUUUCCACGGUUACGGCGGCGCGAGGCUGUGUGUCCCAGGCCCAUGUCGCCUCCUUGGAGGGCCACACCACCGAAGAUAAAGUAGUGCUUCUGGCAGCUUCUUCCCUGCCGGAUGAAGCCACCCUGGGUCAGUGUGGGGUAGAAGCCCUGGCGACCCUGGAAGUGGUUGGCCGCAUGCUAGGAGUGGAUGAGAGCACAUACAUAAAUAUUUAAGCCAGUUAAUUGUAUUUAUCCGGGGUGUUGAUGAGAAUUUUUACAUCACUGAAGAACUUUUGGACAUGGUUCCCAUGACAGACCCAGCAUCUGAAAAUGACUUAUUUGGGUAUUCACCCAAGAGAAAUGAGAACAUAUCCAUACAAAGACUUGUAGAAGAAUAGGCCCAAACUGGAAACACCCUAAAUCUCCAUCA